UUAGUGACAAUGCGCAGCAGUGGCCCGUCAACUGUCCUGAGCAUCUUUUUAGGCUGGCCUCAGUCAGUCGGUUAUAUCAAAUAUCAAGGUGAAACUCAUUAUAGCUCGCUUAGCAUAGACCCAGCUCCCAACCCAACUUUGAGAAUAGAUUAACGGCGAUAUUUUUUUAUCACCCAAUAAGUCUCACUCAUGCUCACUCAUAUAUAUAAUAUAAAGAAAUAAAGAAAUAAAGGUUACAAAAGGAAAAGACUAGAAUUUGAGAGGCUUGAAACAUAUUAAAAAUGAAAUAAAUAACUAAAUAAAUGAAUAGUUAACAAAAGGGGAAAAUGUUAAUUCUAGCAUUUGAGAGGUUGAAUCAAUCAAACAAACAAACAAACAAAUACAUACAUCAAAGGAAAGAUAUUAAGACUAGAAUGUAUGUAUGGGUCAUAUUUCUGUAUAUCUAUAGUAGUUGUAACAUAAUGUGCCGUUGUGAGAGAACUAUGAAAGAAUAAUGUAAAAAGGUUUAUAUAUUGUUGAUGUUGUCCAAUAAAACAUUUGUAUUUACCCCUAGUGCUGAAUAACAGUAGUUAUUGCUAUAAUAGGGUAAUUCAUAGGAAAUAUUGGCCCUGUUUGAAAUGCAGAUCAUUAGGAACAGGAAAGUUUCCCCCAAGCUUUUAAGAUCCAUUCUCUUAGGAUCGUAUGAAACCACAUAAUAAUCUGGAGACGUGUGUUUGUGUCUUCCAGACACAUGCACCCACUCACAGCUCUCAUAUUAUGUUUUUCACAUGUGCGGCCCACUCUUUCCAAUUAUCUGACCAUGUGAGCAUGAGUUAUAGCUGUGCGCUUUCUUUUGCGAGGUGUUACGACAUCUGCGCGGGAACAAGGAAAGAGGAAAAGAGAGAAAGCAUCGCUCUUUUGAAUAUAUAAAGAUCAAGAGAAGAUCAAAGGAGAGGACGCAGUAAGUCAGCUUACGGACGCUACGGUUAAUAGAUGAAAGCAUGACUGGCUCUCAUACAUGCUGUCUGUUUUCAUUCAUCCGGCCCGUCCUCUCAUCUCCUCACAAGCUCAAGCACUCUGCUCAGGCUUUGGCUCACUGCUGAGACUCGCACCCUAAAAAUCAGCCAUCCAACUGAAAAUCUUCCAACAGUAUAAUCCUGAAAUCAAAAAAAUAUUUUCUGAAGAUCUGUGAGUUGCAUUGCAUGUGCAAAGGUGGCUUUCACUAUGCCAGCGUGUUAAUGUGUUCUGAGUAUUUCACAGUAUGAUGCCAUGCAGUUGCUAGGGUGUUCUGGGUGGUUGCCAGGGUGUUGCUAAAACACCAACUUUCCUGCAUUGAGUUUCAGUAUAAAAAAAAGACAGCGGUGGACUGUACAAUGCAUUUCUACUUCGCUUCUGUAUUUAAGUAUAUUCUUAAAGUAUCUGUAUUUUAUCUGAGCAUCUAGUUUCUUGAGCUGGAGUGUGCAUGGAACUGCUGGCGUGGAAAAUAAGUUACUAAUUACAGAUUUGUAGAAUUUAUUACUGUAAUUAAAAAUCCUGUUUAGGUCGCGUACUGUCAGCCCACUGAAUUCAAACAUCUCAAUGGGGAAGAUUUUAGGUAAAAACCAAACAAAACAUUAAAAUGACGCAAAUGAAUGCAUCUUCCCUGCUGAAGCAGUUUCAAAUGAGUUUCAAACUAUGUUUCUUAAAAUUAUAUUCAUUUUGCCCUAUAUGAUGUGAUUUUACAGUGUAUUGUUUUUCGGCAAACAUCUUUUUUCUUCUCAUUUUUAAAUACUCUAUACAGGGCCCUAUGAUUUCCAUGAUGCAGAAAAUGUAGUCGGAAUCAGGCAUAAAACAAGUGUAACAGAAUUUGCAAAACUUUGGAUGAAAAGAUUAAAAGUAGGUCAGUACACUUAAAAAUGCAAUAUGGACUAAUGUCUAAGAAUAUUAAUCCUGCUUGUUCUGCGUGUAUCUGUGUGAAUGAAUGGCACAGACGUGUGUUUUUUUUUUACUACACACAUACUAAAGCAUGUGAUGCUCGGGGUGUUUUCAGCCUCUGCUGCCUCAGUAUAAGAGUACAUAAUCUAGAGCUGUUCUGAGUCACUUCAUGGGCAUUUUACCAUUUAUUUUGAGAAAAUCAAUCGUCAUAUCAUAUACAAACAGAAACUUAAAGGUUUUCACACAAAAAACUGUGUGAGACUCUGGGUUUGGUGUGUGUUUUGUACCCCAUGUGUUUCCAUGCCCUUAUUUGGUUUUCCUGUUCUGUUAUGUUUAAUUGGUUCCAGCUUUGUUUAAUUAAUUAUCCUAUUAUGCCCUUGUAUUUAAACCCUGAGUCUAUGCCAGCUGUCAAAAUGUCAUUCUGUGUUCCUGAUGUGUCGAGUCCUGUGAUCCCCAGCCUUUGGACAGUCGUCUUCUCCCUUUUCUUCUUUUUAAAGGGAAUGUGUUGCUACGAAUCAAACACACAACAAGCCCAUAGCGGUGAUGUAAAAGUGCCCUUUGCCUCCCACACUGGAGAAACAGAUGCCGGAGAGAAUCAAAGCACCCUCCUCUCUGAGAUCCUGCUCUCCACUGACUCACACUUCCUCCACACUUCUCUCACUCCAUACACUCUUAGGUCUCAGAGGACAGUAUUAGUUUAGUGUACAUAUACAUAUCGAAGCUCCUAAGUUGAACAGAUGCUGAAUCAAGGUAUCUCUAGUUUUAUAAUUUUGACUAUUGCAAGAUUGGUCAGCUAGAGCUUAUUCUAGACAAGAAUCAAUCAUUUUAGAAGAGAAUCGUUCAUCUGAUCUAACCAACCAUAGUUAUUGUUUUAAGUGACCAAUAGUGGCACUUUUAUCUGAAAUGGAUGUUUAAGAUAACAAGAUAACAGACAAGAAUUCAAGUAAGAGCACGUUCAAAUACUUGCACAACAGUUUCCAUGGUGGCACAGGGGUCAAAGACAUGACCCUCAUUUAUUUUAUUGUUAUUAUUAUUGUUUUGUACCUACAUCAGAAACACAUCUUGAUUUUUAUUUAUUUAAAAUGAAAUUCUUAGAGCAUCAGUUAAAAAAUGUCAGGGUGAUACAAUUGUCCUAAUAUCAUAAUAGGAAAAAAAUAAUAAAUAAUAGAAUAUAGUUGUAUAAAAUAAUAAUAAUAAAUAAUUUGGAUUUUUUUAAGCAUUUAUAUUUGAAGAAAACAAUUGCCUGUCAAGUUCAAUAAGCCAAUAAACAUGUAGGAGAAAAAAAAACAUAAACCAAUAAAUGUUAUCAUAUAGAGGACCCUUGUAGACCCAUUUGACUGUGUGCAAGGACAAAAGGUCUCAAAAUAUCAUUUUGGCAAUCAUAUAGGUAAGAUUAGUUUAAGUUACAAAAAAAAAAAAAACAAGACAUUUUUAUUUUACAGUUACACAACAUGAAUUUAAUUUUUUUUUUUUAAAUGGUUUAUUUAUUUUUGAAAUGGUUUGAAGCAUGCAAAGAGUAGUUCCUAAGAACUUAGCACAUGCAUUCUAUGCAAAAUUAUUCAAAUAUUUCUCCUUUUCUUUAACUUAGACACUUCUGACCCACAGAAAUGGAAAAACAUAGUGAAAAAUAUAUGUUGACUUUGUGGUCAAAAUGUUCAGCUACUAAAAAGCAAUUCAUACAGACUAUUUUAUGAACAUAAUUCAGCAUAAAAAGUAUGUGGACUUUCAAAUACUUGCAGCCAUGAACUUCACAACUUUGGCAAAUCCAGCUGCAUUUUUAUGUGAUUGCCCUUCGUCCCUCUGUUAUAUUUUGUAAAGCUUUAGACUCUAUAUGAGCAGACUAAGGCUGGUCUGUACCUCCUCCAACACAGAGGUCUGAGGCUCAGUGAGAAUGAUAAGACUGGUUCUCUGUAUCUCUCUGUGUUCUGAGGCGUGUGGCAGCACUGGGAUCAGGGAUUUUGUUACAUCACCAAAGGAGCAGUCAAUCACUUGAGAGAUGUGUGAUUAAAAGGACAACCGCCCACAACGCUGGUUUAGUUUGUGGAUGUGCGUGUUUGCGUGCCGGGUGAGAAUGAGGGAAACGUACAUGUGUGGGUGGAGAUGUGGGAACCAGACGGGAUGCAUUUGAUGGAGGACACAAAGAUGGGUAUGUUAAAUGUUUGCUUGGAAACUGUUAGCUCAAAACUAUAAAAUAGCACAGCAAACACAACUCCGUUCAGUCUUAGGAUACUUAGGAUACUUAGGAUACAAAUUUCUUGACUUCUUUGAAGAUGGCGUGCUACAAAAACUGUGGAUGUGGCAGUUUAGUACAAAUGCUUUUAAGAAAAUCUUAUCCAUCAGAGCUUUUCUAGUGCGUAAGUGUCCUGACAGAGGAAGUGGAAAUCCCCAUUCACAAAUGAUCAAUUUUUCCACUAUCCAUAAACAGAUUAGCAGAUCUCCAUGACAGACCACAGAUAAAAGUCUCUAAUAUUCAACAUGUAGCCAAUUCCAUCCCAGUUAAAUUCGGAGCAGGAAGGAUUACUUGUAUCUGUAGAGCAAAGACUUCAGGAUUCACUUAUAGGCCAAAAGAACAAUGUGUUUAAAAAGUCAUGGAGUCAAACCUCUAUCUGGAUCUGGACACUGUAUAAGAUAUAUUUUAAGAUCUGCAAACUGCAACAUAUAUCCUUAAUGGGACACCUGCAAUUUCAAUGAUCAUGCACUCUUAUGCCACUCAAAAUAAUUUGACUUUCUUUCUUCCAUCUAGCAUUUUUUUUUUUUUUUUUCUCAGACAUUACUCUGACCACUCUUGACAAAAUAAUGCAAGUGAUUGAGGACUGAAUCUGUCAAGUUUCAAACAAUACUCUUUUAAACAUUUCUUUCCCCCCAAAUUAAAUAAAACAAACAUUACUGAAGGAUGGUUUACAAGAAGGGAAAAAAAAGAUUCAGAUAUUCAGUCUUUAUUUUCUCUCUCUCUAUAUAUUUAUUUACUAGCAAUUACUCUGUGAAAAAAACGCUUCCUAGUAGUACUUAACAUAUGAUAAUACCUAACCCUAACCCUAACCCUAACAAUCCUUAAUCAACUAUUACCUUUAAAUAAGCAAGGAUUAUUCAAUUCAGUUUGAUAGAAUUUUACUAUUAAUUAAAUUGUGUAAAUCUUAAAAAAUGGCUUAAUUUUUUUGAGAGUAAAUAAUAAUACAACUGACAGCACUAUUUAUUUAUUUGUAACUGCUACAGAUAUCUUCAUGAAUUCUUAUGGCCAUGACAAUUGUGUGAAAAUCUGAUAUUGUGACAGCCCUGCUCUGAAAUACACUGUGAAUUGAAUAUAUUCUGGGUUAUGAAACUAACAGUAAAUGCCAUUCGUUUUAUGAAAAUGUCACUGAAAUCAACCCUGUAAAAACAGGGCCCAGUGUACUGUAUUAACAUGAAGGGAUAUUCUCUAUUGAUUAUUUAAGUGCAUUUAACCCAUACGCAUUAAAAUGUGUUGUGUUUUAGGAAAAGGAAUACGCCUCUAAACUAAAUUACCAGUACCUUUUCUGUUUUUCUACAGAUAUUUUUUUGCAGUGUGGAAGGAAGAAAGGCAUAUGGGCUUUAUACAGCACAAGUAACCAUCAUUACAGCAUGAAACAUCCCUUUAACUGUUUUUCAAAGCAACACUAUCACGCACAUACCCCAUGCGCACACUGCGUGUGAAUAUGGAUCUGACAGCGCUGUUUAUAUCACGUAACAGCUUUCCCUCUCUGUCAUGGGAUCCUGUGAAGAGAUUUCAUUACUGACCGACCACUGAAGCAGUGUCUCUCUUAUCGUCAGCUGUCAAACUCAAUCACGUCCCCCAUCAUCUCCCUCCACGUGUGUGAGUGUGUGUGUGUUUAAAUGAUCUGUCACAGGCCUGCGCUCUCCACUACAAGGAGCUGUGCAGAAACUAAUUACAACACACUCUAUGUUCUCCUCAAUCACAAAAGUGUGAAAUAUUAAUCCAGCGGCGGCACAAAGAGCCUUUCAUCUUAUUAUUGCUGUAUAUUUCAUUAUUUCAUUUCUCUUGCUCAUGAAACACUUUUGAAGGUUCAGGGAGGUAUGACUCUGAAAGAGAACGCAAACACACACACACACACACACAUACACACAGGAAAAACUGCUAGGACUUUAUAUGAUCUAACAGUAUUACCAUAAAAUAACAGACAAUAAAAUACCACUUCAGAAUUGUAAAAUGCAAUCAAUGGAGGAUCAGUCAUUUUCUGCCAUAAUAAUAAAAAAAGACUGUAAAAAAUGGGAGGAAAGAAUCCACGGCUCUACAGUGAAUGAAAAUUGUUUUAAUAAUGUAUUCACUUUUUUUUUUUCAUUUGAUUUUUAGUGCCAUAUUAGAGAAAGGUUUUUAUUAAUUUAUUUGUAAAUUCAUUUCUCAUUUGUUCUCCUUUUUCUCUCCAAGCCCAACAUCUAUAAAAAACCCAGCUGAAAAUCAGCUUUGCAUAACAGGAAUAAAUUACAUUUUAAAAUAUAUUCAAAUAGAAAGCAGUUAUUUUAAAGAGUAUUGUUUAAAGUUUCAAACAAUACUCUUUUAAACAUUUCUUUCCCCCCAAAUUAAAUAAAACAAACAUUACUGAAGGAUGGUUUACAAGAAGGGAAAAAAAAGAUUCAGAUAUUCAGUCUUUAUUUUCUCUCUCUCUAUAUAUUUAUUUACUAGCAAUUACUCUGUGAAAAAAACGCUUCCUAGUAGUACUUAACAUAUGAUAAUACCUAACCCUAACCCUAACCCUAACAAUCCUUAAUCAACUAUUACCUUUAAAUAAGCAAGGAUUAUUCAAUUCAGUUUGAUAGAAUUUUACUAUUAAUUAAAUUGUGUAAAUCUUAAAAAAUGGCUUAAUUUUUUUGAGAGUAAAUAAUAAUACAACUGACAGCACUAUUUAUUUAUUUGUAACUGCUACAGAUAUCUUCAUGAAUUCUUAUGGCCAUGACAAUUGUGUGAAAAUCUGAUAUUGUGACAGCCCUGCUCUGAAAUACACUGUGAAUUGAAUAUAUUCUGGGUUAUGAAACUAACAGUAAAUGCCAUUCGUUUUAUGAAAAUGUCACUGAAAUCAACCCUGUAAAAACAGGGCCCAGUGUACUGUAUUAACAUGAAGGGAUAUUCUCUAUUGAUUAUUUAAGUGCAUUUAACCCAUACGCAUUAAAAUGUGUUGUGUUUUAGGAAAAGGAAUACGCCUCUAAACUAAAUUACCAGUACCUUUUCUGUUUUUCUACAGAUAUUUUUUUGCAGUGUGGAAGGAAGAAAGGCAUAUGGGCUUUAUACAGCACAAGUAACCAUCAUUACAGCAUGAAACAUCCCUUUAACUGUUUUUCAAAGCAACACUAUCACGCACAUACCCCAUGCGCACACUGCGUGUGAAUAUGGAUCUGACAGCGCUGUUUAUAUCACGUAACAGCUUUCCCUCUCUGUCAUGGGAUCCUGUGAAGAGAUUUCAUUACUGACCGACCACUGAAGCAGUGUCUCUCUUAUCGUCAGCUGUCAAACUCAAUCACGUCCCCCAUCAUCUCCCUCCACGUGUGUGAGUGUGUGUGUGUUUAAAUGAUCUGUCACAGGCCUGCGCUCUCCACUACAAGGAGCUGUGCAGAAACUAAUUACAACACACUCUAUGUUCUCCUCAAUCACAAAAGUGUGAAAUAUUAAUCCAGCGGCGGCACAAAGAGCCUUUCAUCUUAUUAUUGCUGUAUAUUUCAUUAUUUCAUUUCUCUUGCUCAUGAAACACUUUUGAAGGUUCAGGGAGGUAUGACUCUGAAAGAGAACGCAAACACACACACACACACACAUACACACAGGAAAAACUGCUAGGACUUUAUAUGAUCUAACAGUAUUACCAUAAAAUAACAGACAAUAAAAUACCACUUCAGAAUUGUAAAAUGCAAUCAAUGGAGGAUCAGUCAUUUUCUGCCAUAAUAAUAAAAAAAGACUGUAAAAAAUGGGAGGAAAGAAUCCACGGCUCUACAGUGAAUGAAAAUUGUUUUAAUAAUGUAUUCACUUUUUUUUUUUCAUUUGAUUUUUAGUGCCAUAUUAGAGAAAGGUUUUUAUUAAUUUAUUUGUAAAUUCAUUUCUCAUUUGUUCUCCUUUUUCUCUCCAAGCCCAACAUCUAUAAAAAACCCAGCUGAAAAUCAGCUUUGCAUAACAGGAAUAAAUUACAUUUUAAAAUAUAUUCAAAUAGAAAGCAGUUAUUUUA